GGACGGGUGAGUAACACGUGGAUAACCUACCUAUAAGACUGGGAUAACUACGGGAAACCGGAGCUAAUACCGGAUAAUAUAUUGAACCGCAUGGUUCAAUAGUGAAAGACGGUUUUGCUGUCACUUAUAGAUGGAUCCGCGCCGCAUUAGCUAGUUGGUAAGGUAACGGCUUACCAAGGCAACGAUGCGUAGCCGACCUGAGAGGGUGAUCGGCCACACUGGAACUGAGACACGGUCCAG
rnacentral:rRNA from 1 species